CCGGCUAAUUUUUGUAUUUUUAAGUAGAGAUGGAGUUUCACCAUGUUGGUCAGGCUGGUCUCGAACCCUUGACCUCAUGAUCUGCUUGCCUCAGCCUCCCAAAGUGCCAGGAUUUCAGGCAUGAGCCACCGCACCCUCUGUCACCAGGGUGGAGUGCAGUGGCAUGACCUCAGCUCACUGCAACCUCCACCUCCUAGGUUCAAGCGAUUCUCCUGCCUCAGCCUCCUAAGUAGCUGGGACUAUAAGCCGUGCCACCACACCCAGGGUCUGUCUGUUGCCCAGGCUAGACUGCAGUGGCGUCAUGACAGCUUCUUGCAGCCUCAACCUCCCAGGCUCACGUGAUCUUCCCAUCUCAGCCCAGGUAUGCAAGUUGCUUUUAAUAUAAUUGUGAGGAAAAGUGAAGAGAUGCAAAAUUAUUUGAGACGUUAAUAUUAAGCUUUGGGAACGGAAGUUACUUGUUACCAGAGUUCUGACUGGAAUCAGGGCCACAAUGCCCUUCAGCUCUCAUGGUCUUUCUUGAUCCUCAAAUCAUAGAUUCUCUCUUACACUCUUAUUCCAGUAGUUCUCUGAGCUUCUUCUCUUCUGGAUUAGCCAUGCCCUGAAAAAAGGCAGCAAAACUUCCUAGUGUGUGUGUUCUAUGUGAAGAAAGAUCAUGUGUCAAGUCCCAGAACACACCAUCCCCGCCCAGGGCCUCAGCCACAAAUCUAAUUCUUCCCCACAGACCCCUUUGAGAAACCUGGACCAACAGAGAAUUGAUGGUGGGUAGAAGGCAAAAUGUUGGAAUUUAAGAGUUCAGACCCAGACUAGGAAGCUGCCUAACAGCCUAGAGUGGGGCCAUAGGAAGGCAGGCCAUCAGCACUGAGAUGGAGCAGCUGGAGCAGCUGGAGCAGCUGGAACAGAAAACUUUCCCCCAGCCUUCCAAUCUCCUGACUUGCCUCAGAGAAGGCCAGGUUCUAAGCAGCUGGCAGAACCAUCCUCUUUUUCUUCAGAGCUCUGAUCAGUUUGAAAUUGUUUGACUUCUUUUUUUUUUUUUUGAGACAGAGUUUUGCUGUUACCCAGACUGGAGUGCAAUGGCGUGAUCUCGGCUCACUGCAACCUCUGCCUUCUGGGUUCAAGCAAUUCUCCUGCCUCAGCCUCCCAAGUAGCUGGGACUACAGGCGCAUACCACCAUGCCCAGCUAAUUUUUGUAUUUUUAGUAGAGACGGGGUUUCACCAUGUUGACCAGGAUGGUCUCG
rnacentral:lncRNA from 13 species